AACGAACGCUGGCGGCAGGCUUAACACAUGCAAGUCGAGCGCCCCGCAAGGGGAGCGGCAGACGGGUGAGUAACGCGUGGGAAUCUACCGUGCCCUGCGGAAUAAUUCCGGGAAACUGGAACUAAUACCGCAUACGCCCUUCGGGGGAAAGAUUUAUCGGGGUAUGAUGAGCCCGCGUUGGAUUAGCUAGUUGGUGGGGUAAAGGCCUACCAAGGCGACGAUCCAUAGCUGGUCUGAGAGGAUGAUCAGCCACAUUGGGACUGAGACACGGCCCAAACUCCUACGGGAGGCAGCAGUGGGGAAUAUUGGACAAUGGGCGCAAGCCUGAUCCAGCCAUGCCGCGUGAGUGAUGAAGGCCCUAGGGUUGUAAAGCUCUUUCACCGGUGAAGAUAAUGACGGUAACCGGAGAAGAAGCCCCGGCGAACUUCGUGCCAGCCGCCGCGGUAAAAC
rnacentral:rRNA from 1 species